UGAAGCUCAACCAGGAGUGGGACCAGAUCUACCACACCACCACGCUGGGGCUGCAGCAGAAGGUGCGGGCCCUGCAGCAGGAGAUGCUGACCCUCAGGCAGCAGAUGGAGAGGCUCACCAUGAAGCUGGACCACGAGCAGAGCAAGAGGGAAUACUACGAACAAACCCUGAUCCAGGAGCUGAAGAAGAACCAGCACCUGCAGGAGUACGUGCGGCAGCUGGAAGGCAACCAGCACCACGGCCAGGAUGGCCGGCCCUCGGCGAGCCGCGAGGCGCUGGGCC